AGCCAGACUCCUACGGGAGGCAGCAGUGGGGAAUAUUGCACAAUGGGGGAAACCCUGAUGCAGCGACGCCGCGUGAGCGAUGAAGUAUUUCGGUAUGUAAAGCUCUAUCAGCAGGGAAGAAAAUGACGGUACCUGACUAAGAAGCCCCGGCUAACUACGUGCCAGCAGCCGCGGUAAUACGUAGGGGGCAAGCGUUAUCCGGAUUUACUGGGUGUAAAGGGAGCGUAGACGGCAAUGCAAGCCAGAUGUGAAAGCCCGGGGCUCAACCCCGGGACUGCAUUUGGAACUGUGUAGCUGGAGUGUCGGAGGGGCAGGCGGAAUUCCUAGUGUAGCGGUGAAAUGCGUAGAUAUUAGGAGGAACACCGGUGGCGAAGGCGGCCUGCUGGACUGCGACUGACGUUGAGGCCCGAAAGCGUGGGGAGCAAACAGGAUUAGAUACCCGCGUAU
rnacentral:rRNA from 1 species